rnacentral:lncRNA from 1 species
CCAUCUUCCCCUUUCCUAGUUUAUAGAGCCUCUUGGCUGACCUGACAGCUGAUGUGGGAUAGCAACAGGUAGAGGUGAGAAUGCACCUGAUUCUCACCUUUCCUGAGAUUAUAUGGAGUGAUGGCUCAAUCCCCAAGUACAAAUUGAAUGUUGACGGUACAGCCAAGAGGCUGUAUGGGUUCCAUUAUGCUAUCAAGGUCCAUUCAAAGGUUGGCUGAUGGACGUGAAGAACAGAGAACGGGGACAUGAUAUCUGCAGCCACUCCCUGCAGGACUCAUGCGGACAGGGAGAAUCCUAUUCUAGGUUACUGAGAAGGACAGUGUGGCUGAGAGAGGUGCCCUACUCCAUGUCCCCACAGCAGCCUGCAGCUCCCACCCUGCACGGUGCUCAACAGUCCCAGACCAGUUCAGGUAAUCAGUAUAAAUCUGAGUGCCACUGGGGCAGCCCUAAAGCAUUUGACAGCAGGAGACAGCACCACAUCAGUGCUGGGUCCUGAUUUCAAGGCAUUUUGCCACAAAGUCUGCAUCUGGAAAAUGGUGAAGCCCCUUCCUCCGUCCUGAAAUUCAAGGGCACUGGAGAUGGGGAGGUGUCCAUCCUGGCAAUAGCUGAGGUCAGAAGAAGGUGGAGGGAAUGUGGCUUGGGCACAUCUGCCUUGAAGAUUUCCAUUGUUAUAGGAUGGAAUGAGAGCUCCACGAGGGAGGGACUGGUCAAGACCAUAUAAAUAUAUUUUGAAUUAAUACAUAAGGACGUUUAUUAAUAGACAGUGAUGCUUUUCAAGAGGAAUGGGAGUUGUUUGGGAUAAAUUUAUAAUAUUUAGGCUUGUGUCUUUGCUUGGAAGAUGCAUUGUUUUGGAGAAGGUCAAAGUAGUUCUGGCCUUGAGCUACAGAAUGAAAACUCGAGUUAGGCCAGACGUCUGGGUACACUGGAGCUUCUCUUUUGGCUUUUAGUGAAGCCACUGCCUUUAAUACUCUCCGACAUGUGGCUUGAUAGUUUUCUGAGUUGACCUGACAGUUUUAAAGCAGGAACAAUGGGAAUGUGUCAGAGAGAAUUACCUGACAACCCCAGAUGUCCUAAAAUGGUGGGUGCAAAAAGUUGUGAAGAUGCCCCCAUGCCAUCAAACUCAAACCCUACCCCAAGAUGAUCCUGUAAAUCCGCUCCUUGAACCAUCUGAGCCAGCUUCAGCUACGUUCACAAUCACAUAGCUCCUGAAUGAAGGUAGAGUCCCAGAACAGAAAGAAAUGCAGAGGUGAGUGACAAGAGGUAAGGACUUCUUGUUUUCUUGCUAGACAAGGCCCAAUGUGUAGAGCUGCUUUUUGAAAAUCUUUGGUCUUGACCUGGAUACAUGACUAAAAUAAAUCUCUUCCCCACCUUGCCUUAGAGAAGAAGGCACGCGAUGUCCCCUGGGGAAGCCCGUGUACCCAGGAUAUGAUGAAAAGAGAAAACAAAAAGCAAUGGCUUAGAAGGAAUGGAUGGGACUGCCCAUAAACACCUUGGUGUGGCUUCCUUAGCUUUAGAAUUCCCAGAUGAUACAGAUUCCUUCCCUCAGGGAGGGUGGCUUGGAUAUGAGCCCAUUCUAGCAGUCACUUUCUGGUUUCUGCAAUUGCCCAGCUAGUGUUUGCACACUACAUGUGUCAACACCCUACUGUGUGGCCUCCCUGAAGACGGCAGAUUCCAAUUUUCAGGCAUUUGAUUUCAGGCCUGGAGAGAUGGGUGCCAGAAGCCAGCUGUCUAUUUUCCUGUGACGUAGGGUGUACGGUCCCAGCCACUGACCAAAACAAACACACCUGGCUCACAGUGGCAAGAUGCAGCAAAAGAAGGCGUUUUAAAAAUACAUUCGUAUGAGCUGCCUUGUCAAUACUAACACAUUCAGGAAGCUGAAAGUGGCUCCCGAGACGGCUAUGUCAAGUCUAGCAUUCAAAUAUUUAGUGGCUGAGUAAUUACUGUAAUAAUUAAUUUCCGUUGCUUAAUCUAGCAAUCAGGCAUGUCACUUUACACAUGGGAAAAUGUUGGUCCCUGUAGGAUAAAAUACAGCCCAGCAAUUGCUAUUUAGUUAAGACGUGGAGAUCAGUUUGUGGAAUAAAUGAGAUGCUUUUAGUUUUCUUUGUAGUCAUAGCUUUGGGAGAAAAGCAGAAAGGAGAAUAAAGAGAACCAAAAAUUAAAUGCCCCAAACUUCAAAUGCCAUCUUUAUGAUAACUUUUCCAAAGUCGGGUUUGAUCAAAUGUUAUAAUUCGAAGCUUUGUAAAUGAAAAUCUGAAAGCAGCUGAUCUUACCCAAAUCCUGCCCUGGGCUUUCUAGAGCUGAACUGCUCAGUAAGGGUGGAGUGCAUAAGGACCCAGUACAUGUUGGGUGAAUGCCCAGCCCCAUGCGUUGGGGAAUACAGAGAAAGCCUUGAGAUUGACUCUGAACUUAAGGACUUGCCAUCAGGAAGAAGAGGCUGUAUCAACACAAAAUGAUCGGAGAACAUCAUGUUAAAUAUGCUGAAAUGGAAAGGGAAGGCAGGCAGAGCCACUGGGAGGCAAAAUGGGAAGGAGAUGCAGAGACCUGUCCCAGAGAGAGAGCAAGAAGAGGACAGCGGUCUGGCCCACUGGUGGGAAGAAAACUAAAGGCUUGGAGCCAAUGAGUGUCUUGAUUGAUUAUGAACCUGCUGCCCAGACUUCCCUCUACCCUGACAGCCCUAAAGUUGCCUCCCAGGCACCCCCCCUUCCUUUGCUUCACCCCUUCCAGACUGUCCUCCAGUCUGAUUUUUACUUCGACAGGUCUUGUACAUUCAGUCAGCGACAGGUCUUAUACACGCUCACAUUCAGUUAAUAAGCAUGCACUGAAGGCUUGCCUCCUAUGCGCUCAUCUAUAGGAUAAAUAACAGCAGGGCGUGUAGUCCUGCCCCUAAAGCGUUCCAUCUGUUGGAGGGGAGAGACAAGGAAAGCUAAAAUUCCUGAAAUCAGUUUUAUGUGCCAGGAUAGAUAGGCAGAGGGGUUAGAGGAGUCCUUCACCCAGCCUGAGAAGUCAAGGAGGGCGUCCCAGCAGUGGUUGAGACAACAGCUGCUGGACAGAGUUCAGGGAGAGACACUCCAGGUGAACACAGCAAGGAGAGUAAAUGUGCAAAGGAAUGAAGCUGAGAAAGCUGAGCUGGGCCCGUUUGGAGAGUGUGACGUGGCUGGGAUGAGUGGCACAGGAGGUGUGUGGGUACACAGUCAGAUAUGAGGCUGGAAGGGAGGGAGCAUGGCCAGGUCACCAACGGCCUGGCGGUCACCGUGGCAAUGGUGAUGCACAGAAGCCAGCGAAGAGCUGUUGCAGAGAUUUAAGUAAAGGGAUCCCUGAAUCAGCCUUGCAUGUAGUUGGGGAGGGGAAAGAAGUUAGGUGUGAUCUAGCUAGGCAG